rnacentral:rRNA from 1 species
AUGGGGUGCAGCAGGCGCGAAACCUCCGCAAUGCGGGAAACCGCGACGGGGCUAGCCGGAGUGCCGAUGCCUCGCAUCGGCUGUCGGGGAGCCUAAAAAGCUCCCCACAGCAAGGGCCGGGCAAGGCCGGUGGCAGCCGCCGCGGUAAUACCGGCGGCCCGAGUGGCGGCCACUAUUAUUGGGCCUAAAGCGUCCGUAGCCGGUCUGGCAAGUCCCCCGGGAAAUCUGGCGGCUUAACNNUCAGGCUGCCGGGGGAUACUGCCAGACUAGGGACCGGGAGAGGCCGGGGGUAUUCCCGGGGUAGGGGUGAAAUCCUGUAAUCCCGGGAGGACCACCUGUGGCGAAGGCGCCCGGCUGGAACGGGUCCGACGGUGAGGGACGAAGGCCUGGGGAGCGAACCGGAUUAGAUACCCGGGUAGUCCAGGCUGUAAACGAUGCGGGCUAGGUGUCGCGACAGCCACGAGCNGNNNCGGUGCCGGAGGGAAGCCGUUAAGCCCGCCGCCUGGGAAGUACGGCCGCAAGGCUGAAACUUAAAGGAAUUNNNNNGGGAGCAC